GACGAACGCUGGCGGCGUGCUUAACACAUGCAAGUCGAACGGAAAGGCCCUGCUUUUGUGGGGUGCUCGAGUGGCGAACGGGUGAGUAACACGUGAGUAACCUGCCCUUGACUUUGGGAUAACUUCAGGAAACUGGGGCUAAUACCGGAUAGGAGUUCCUGCUGCAUGGUGGGGGUUGGAAAGUUUCGGCGGUUGGGGAUGGACUCGCGGCUUAUCAGCUUGUUGGUGGGGUAGUGGCUUACCAAGGCUUUGACGGGUAGCCGGCCUGAGAGGGUGACCGGCCACAUUGGGACUGAGAUACGGCCCAGACUCCUACGGGAGGCAGCAGUGGGGAAUAUUGCACAAUGGGCGGAAGCCUGAUGCAGCAACGCCGCGUGCGGGAUGACGGCCUUCGGGUUGUAAACCUCUUUCGCCUGUGACGAAGCGUGAGUGACGGUAAUGGGUAAAGAAGCACCGGCUAACUACGUG
rnacentral:rRNA from 1 species